rnacentral:rRNA from 1 species
CCGCCCGUCACACCAUGGGAGUCAGUUGCUCUAGAAGUCGGGUGCGCCAACCUCGUGAGGCAGCCGCCUAAAGAGUGACUGGUGACUGGGUG